GGCGAACGCUGGCGGCGUGCUUAACACAUGCAAGUCGAACGGAAAGGCCCGGCUUGCAGGGUACUCAAGUGGCAAACGGGUGAGUAACCCGUGGGUGAUCUGCCCUGCACUUCGGGAUAAGCCUGGGAAACUGGGUCUAUUACCGGAUAGGGGCCAUUUUUGGUGUGAUGGUUGGAAGGUUUUUUCGGUGUAGGAUGAGCUCGCGGCCUAUCAGCUUGUUGGUGGGGUAAUGGCCUACCAAGGCGGCGACGGGUAGCCGGCCUGAGAGGGUGGACGGCCACAUUGGGACUGAGAUACGGCCCAGACUCCUACGGGAGGCAGCAGUGGGGAAUAUUGCACAAUGGGCGCAAGCCUGAUGCAGCGACGCCGCGUGGGGGAUGACGGCCUUCGGGUUGUAAACUCCUUUCGCUAGGGACGAAGCUUUUUGUGACGGUACCUAGAUAAGAAGCACCGGCUAACUACGUG
rnacentral:rRNA from 1 species